rnacentral:rRNA from 1 species
UACGUAGGGGGCUAGCGUUGUCCGGAAUCAUUGGGCGUAAAGCGCGUGUAGGCGGUCCGGUAAGUCCGCUGUGAAAGUCGGGGGCUCAACCCUCGAAUGCCGGUGGAUACUGUCGGGCUAGAGUGCGGAAGGGGCAACUGGAAUUCUUGGUGUAGCGGUGAAAUGCGUAGAUAUCAAGAGGAACACCUGCGGCGAAGGCGGGUUGCUGGGCCGACACUGACGCUGAGGCGCGAAAGCGUGGGGAGCGAACAGG